rnacentral:ncRNA from 1 species
UUAAUUUGACUCAACACGGGAAAACUCACCCGGUCCGGACACCGGUAGGAUUGACAGAUCGAUAGCUCUUUCUCGACGUCGUAAGUGACGGAGUGCCUACUACUGCUUAAGUAGUGCGGAGAA